rnacentral:rRNA from 2 species
CGUAGGUGAACCAGCGGAGGGAUCAUUACCGAGUUUACAACUCCCAAACCCAAUGUGAACCAUACCAAACUGUUGCCUCGGCGGGGUCACGCCCCGGGUGCGUCGCAGCCCCGGAACCAGGCGCCCGCCGGAGGGACCAACCAAACUCUUUUCUGUAGUCCCCUCGCGGACGUUAUUUCUUACAGCUCUGAGCAAAAAUUCAAAAUGAAUCAAAACUUUCAACAACGGAUCUCUUGGUUCUGGCAUCGAUGAAGAACGCAGCGAAAUGCGAUAAGUAAUGUGAAUUGCAGAAUUCAGUGAAUCAUCGAAUCUUUGAACGCACAUUGCGCCCGCCAGUAUUCUGGCGGGCAUGCCUGUCCGAGCGUCAUUUCAACCCUCGAACCCCUCCGGGGGGUCGGCGUUGGGGACCUCGGGAGCCCCUAAGACGGGAUCCCGGCCCCGAAAUACAGUGGCGGUCUCGCCGCAGCCUCUCCUGCGCAGUAGUUUGCACAACUCGCACCGGGAGCGCGGCGCGUCCACGUCCGUAAAACACCCAACUUUCUGAAAUGUUGACCUCGGAUCAGGUAGGAAUACCCGCUGAACUUAAGCAUAUCAAUAAGCGGAGGAAAAGAAACCAACAGGGAUUGCCCCAGUAAC